rnacentral:tRNA from 1 species
UCCCUGGUAGCUCUGCUGGCAAAGAACCUGCCUGCAAUGCAGGAUUCUAGGUUUGAUUCCUAGGCUGGGAA